rnacentral:lncRNA from 1 species
GGAUGGCGUUGUGCUGUGGGUAGGAAGCAGCUGAGUAACCUGCGUGGGAGCCCAGCGAGGUCUUGGCCAUCUGCAGAUGUGCUGAUAGGUGGUUCUGCUCUGGUGCUCGCCCAGCCUUGUGUGGGCUAGAACUUCAGGCUUUGGGUCCUGCUUGAACACCGGGCAUCCUGGUUGAACCCUGAGGCCCGGGGCCCUGCGCAGGGUUACAGCACUGGUGAUUUCUGCGGAGAGCGGCUGGACAGGGGUCCUCUACCACUCUCAGAGAUGCAGUAUUCCGACAAGGUGAGAUCUGGGUCCUGGAGCCACACAGAAUGCUGCCUCCCUCUGGCCCGCCAUCUUGACCCCCGUGGCCCGUAUUCUUGAUGAUUGCCAUUCUGGCAGGAGGGAGAUGAAAUCUUACAGUAGUUUUGAUUUGCCUUUCUCUAAUUGCUAGAGAUGCUGAACACUUUUUCAUAUAUUUGUUGAUCAGUUGUAUUUCUAGUUCUGUGAAGUGUCUACUCAGUUUCUUAAUGUCACUUACGACAACACAUUCUCACUAGAACUACCUCAGUCCCAAAGCCCAGGAUUUGUCUUAGGGCAGUGCCCUCUGUGACCUGAUAGCCUUCCAUGAGGUGCCACUGCUUACAGGUUCCACCACCUCAACAUUGCCACACUGGGCAUUCCGCUUCCGGUACAUGACUGUAGGGGACACAUUCAGACCAUACCCAAACCAUAAAAGGCCUUUAUGAUAAAGCAGUUCUAGGAACACUCUAUAUGGGUGCUGCUCUGCUUUGGUUGAGUGUUCCCCACAGAGUCCUGCAUGGUGUCCCCAAUCCAUGGUGCUGUUGGGAGGUAGGGAGGUGGGGCCCAGUGAAAGGGUGCUGAGUCCCUGGGGCUCCUGACCCCUUCCUCACUUCCUGGCUCCCAUGAAAUGAACCCCAUCUCUAAACAGGUGAAUGCUUAUGAGCAGCUUCCUCUACCACGUGCUCCCCCUGAUUUACUGACUCAAAACAGGCUCAAAGCAAGUCACCGACCAGCCAGGUACUGAAAUCUCCAAAACCACAAGGCACAACAAACCUUUCUUCUCUUGAUAUCUCAGGUGGUUUGCUCAGUAAUGGAAAGUUGACUAACACAGGUGGGGAGAAAAGUCGCCUGUGAGAAAGCAAAACCUCAGGCCCUCCUGACAUGGGAGUGAACGGAAUCUCUAGUCACCACAAGCCGUGAGCGCAAGGAAGCAGGGUCCCCCUCAUGACCAGAACCCAGAACAGUGACAACACGCAGGAGGUUCUCCAAGAGCACAUGCGGAAUGAAAGCACCAUGACCUUGACCGGUCGAAUGAGGCAGAGGGGCUGUUUCGUGGAUUCUAGAGUCUUAGGAGGUCUAUCAGCUUCUGCUUUUGCCUUCUUGGAGCCCUGAGUGACCAAGUUAAGAAGUCUGGUCAUCCACUGGGAGAGGACGGGUGGACAGAAAGGCCCUAGAGGGUGAAAGUCAUGAGAACGAGGAUGAAAGUUCUGCCAGUCCCAGACGAGUGCCCCAACUCAUGGAGGGGAAGCUGACCAUCCUACCAAGCCCUGUAGGCCACUGGCAGAUCCGGGGGCAAAUAAAGCUGUCUUUGCUUUAUGUCACUAAAUUUUGA